CUUAUACGACUGCAUGAUUUAUUUCAUUUGACACCAAAUAACAGGACAGUUUUAACAAAUUGGUUUGAAAAUACAAAAAUAUUGGAAGUCAAGUUUUGAGAAGAGCAUCAAACACUGCCUAGAUCAAGAUCUUAUUAGCAAAGUGUGCAAAAAAAAUGGGGCUUGGCAGGCAACAAAUAUAGAUAUAUCGAGAAGUAUCAAACGUUAGCUCAUGCAAGCAUCAAGUUGGAAUUAUUGUAGAAGUU
rnacentral:lncRNA from 1 species